CAGGAAGAGAGUUGCCGCGGUCGCUCCUCGCUGUUCCGCCCACUUCCCUCAGUGGGUGCACGUUUCUCAGCCAGCUGGGCAGAUAGCUGCAGAAAUUGACCGGCGGGAGCGGAGUUCUCCGUGCUCCCGCCAGUCACUCGGACAUUUUUGCGCCCCUUGGGUCCGUGCGCCCUAAGGCGGCCGCUUGUGCCGCCUUAUGGUAGCGCCGGCCCUGCA